CCUACGGGAGGCAGCAGUAGGGAAUCUUUCACAAUGGGCGAAAGCCUGAUGGAGCAACGCCGCGUGCAGGAUGAAGGCCUUCGGGUUGUAAACUGCUUUUAUAAGCGAGAAAUAUGAUGGUAACUUAUGAAUAAGGAUCGGCUAACUACGUGCCAGCAGCCGCGGUCAUACGUAGGAUCCGAGCAUUAUCCGGAGUGACUGGGUGUAAAGAGUUGCGUAGGUGGCAUAAUAAGUAGCUAGUGAAAUCUGGUGGCUCAACCAUUCAGACUAUUAGCUAAACUGUUAAGCUCGAGACCGUUAGGGGUAACUGGAAUUGCUAGUGUAGGAGUGAAAUCCGUAGAUAUUAGAAGGAACACCAAUAGCGUAGGCAGGUUGCUGGGACGGUUCUGAUACUAAGCCACGAAAGCGUAGGGAGCAAACGGGAUUAGAUACCCCGGUAGUC
rnacentral:rRNA from 1 species